rnacentral:tRNA from 1 species
GCCUGGGUGGCUCAGUCGGUUUAGCAUCUGACUUCGGUUCAGGUCAUGAUCUCGCGGUCUGUGGGUUCAAGCCCUGCAUCGGGCU